rnacentral:rRNA from 1 species
AGAGUUUGAUCCUGGCUCAGGAUGAACGCCGGCGGUGUGCCUAAUACAUGCAAGUCGAACGCGUUGGCCCAACUGAUUGAACGUGCUUGCACGGACUUGACGUUGGUUUACCAGCGAGUGGCGGACGGGUGAGUAACACGUAGGUAACCUGCCCCAAAGCGGGGGAUAACAUUUGGAAACAGAUGCUAAUACCGCAUAACAAUUUGAAUCGCAUGAUUCAAAUUUGAAAGAUGGCUUCGGCUAUCACUUUGGGAUGGACCUGCGGCGCAUUAGCUUGUUGGUAGGGUAACGGCCUACCAAGGCUGUGAUGCGUAGCCGAGUUGAGAGACUGAUCGGCCACAAUGGAACUGAGACACGGUCCAUACUCCUACGGGAGGCAGCAGUAGGGAAUCUUCCACAAUGGGCGCAAGCCUGAUGGAGCAACACCGCGUGAGUGAAGAAGGGUUUCGGCUCGUAAAGCUCUGUUGUUAGAGAAGAACGUGCGUGAGAGCAACUGUUCACGCAGUGACGGUAUCUAACCAGAAAGUCACGGCUAACUACGUGCCAGCAGCCGCGGUAAUACGUAGGUGGCAAGCGUUAUCCGGAUUUAUUGGGCGUAAAGCGAGCGCAGGCGGUUUGAUAAGUCUGAUGUGAAAGCCUUUGGCUUAACCAAAGAAGUGCAUCGGAAACUGUCAGACUUGAGUGCAGAAGAGGACAGUGGAACUCCAUGUGUAGCGGUGGAAUGCGUAGAUAUAUGGAAGAACACCAGUGGCGAAGGCGGCUGUCUGGUCUGCAACUGACGCUGAGGCUCGAAAGCAUGGGUAGCGAACAGGAUUAGAUACCCUGGUAGUCCAUGCCGUAAACGAUGAGUGCUAGGUGUUGGAGGGUUUCCGCCCUUCAGUGCCGCAGCU